rnacentral:tRNA from 1 species
GUCUGUAGCUCAAUGGUAGAGUGCCUGCCUCGCACAUGUGGGGCACUGGGUUCAAUCCUCAGCACGACA